AGCAGCAGCCACGGGAAUACGUAGGUGGCGAGCGUUGUCCGGAAUUAUUGGGCGUAAAGGGAGCGCAGGCGGACAUAUAAGUCCAUCUUAAAAGUGCGGGGCUCAACCCCGUGAGGGGAUGGAAACUGUAUGCCUUGAGUGCAGGAGAGGAAAGCGGAAUUCCCAGUGUAGCGGUGAAAUGCGUAGAUAUUGGGAGGAACACCAGUGGCGAAGGCGGCUUUCUGGACUGUAACUGACGCUGAGGCUCGAAAGCCAGGGGAGCGAACGGGAUUAGAUACCCCAGUAGUCCCUGUCUCUUAUACA
rnacentral:rRNA from 1 species